GUUUGGAUCAGGCAGUAGAUGAGGUUAAGGGUUCCUGUGGUGGUUUAUUUGGUGAGACUGGGCAUGAUUCAGAAAAGUUGGAAGAUCUAGAGAGGGAUCUUGCAAUCUGAAGUUUCUUGUUUAGUCACUGGAGGAUCUGAACGUCUAUGACACUCUUUCGAGCUGACACAGUGAAGAACAUAGAAGGAGAACUCACCCAGUCUGCCAGGGUCACAGAAUGAUCAUACUCAAGAUCUUCCUGGGGAGUCAAUGGCAAAUUUCACUGGGCUAUUUUACAGAUGAAGAAGGAACAUAAAGAAGGUUCUGGGACCCC
rnacentral:lncRNA from 1 species